UCACCUUUCUGGAUGUAAAAUGUAUUCCUAAUCUCUCGCCUCUACCCUGGCAACCCACACUCCUCCUUACUGCUUCCCUAAUUCCCAGAUAAUACCCAAAUACAGCCUUCCUUCUCUGCCCUCUCCUUGCCUCCCUGAACCAGAACACCUGUCUCUUAAACUUAACCAGGGUCCCACACUCCUCUCCAAAUACUCCCCGCCAUGACCUACACACCCGACACAUUCUGGCCGCUGCCCUCCUCUCUACCUCGGUCCCACCAAUCUCCCCAGCUCGACACACUCUGCACUCGACCCCUCACUCUGUCCCUUAAACUGCCAAGUUGCUCCUGCUCCACGGCCUCUGCCCUCACAGCUCCCACAGCCAGGGGUCUUCUCCCCACUCCUCCACCUUCUUCACAUGCCGUCCUCCCUUCAGUUGGCCUCUCCCUGGCCACUGUGGUGAACACCCCUACCUCCACCACCUCCUGGCCACUCUAUCCCAAUACCGUGCGCCCAAUUCUUCACAGUCUUUCUCUUGCUCUCAUUUCAGAGCUGUAUGGGGUUUCGGCUGGCUGGUUUACUGUCGAUCUUCUGCACUAGAACCUAAGUUCCGGUCUAGGUGCUGAGAAAAUGGGACUUGAUUACAUACAGUGGCUGCAGUGAGGAAAGAAAGGGGUUCGUGCCAUGGAAACCAGCAGGCAAGAGAAGGACAUGGGCCUCCAAGACACAGGAGGUUCAGGACCCAGCGUGAGAGCAAGGACACACAGCCUUCCAGAGGAGACUCCCAGUGAGGCCACCCCGCACUGGGGGAUUUCAAGCCAUCUGGGAAAGAUCUGGGGAAAGAUAAGGUGACUAUUCCAGCCACCUCCAGUCAUGGAGAGGCAGGCAGGUGUAUGCAGAAAGACAGAGGACAAG
rnacentral:lncRNA from 10 species